rnacentral:rRNA from 1 species
AGUCGACGCUUCUUUUUCCCCGGAGCUUGCUCCACCGGAAAAAGAGGAGUGGCGAACGGGUGAGUAACACGUGGGUAACCUGCCCAUCAGAAGGGGAUAACACUUGGAAACAGGUGCUAAUACCGUAUAACAAUCGAAACCGCAUGGUUUUGAUUUGAAAGGCGCUUUCGGGUGUCGCUGAUGGAUGGACCCGCGGUGCAUUAGCUAGUUGGUGAGGUAACGGCUCACCAAGGCGACGAUGCAUAGCCGACCUGAGAGGGUGAUCGGCCACAUUGGGACUGAGACACGGCCCAAACUCCUACGGGAGGCAGCAGUAGGGAAUCUUCGGCAAUGGACGAAAGUCUGACCGAGCAACGCCGCGUGAGUGAAGAAGGUUUUCGGAUCGUAAAACUCUGUUGUUAGAGAAGAACAAGGAUGAGAGUAACUGUUCAUCCCUUGACGGUAUCUAACCAGAAAGCCACGGCUAACUACGUGCCAGCAGCCGCGGUAAUACGUAGGUGGCAAGCGUUGUCCGGAUUUAUUGGGCGUAAAGCGAGCGCAGGCGGUUUCUUAAGUCUGAUGUGAAAGCCCCCGGCUCAACCGGGGAGGGUCAUUGGAAACUGGGAGACUUGAGUGCAGAAGAGGAGAGUGGAAUUCCAUGUGUAGCGGUGAAAUGCGUAGAUAUAUGGAGGAACACCAGUGGCGAAGGCGGCUCUCUGGUCUGUAACUGACGCUGAGGCUCGAAAGCGU